CAACAAACCCAAAUCUCGAAACUCUUACAAGAUUUAAACCCUCAUUUCACAAGAUAUUACACACUGAACUGACUGUGCAACAAUCUUGAACAAGAUUAAUAAGCAAAUUAAACUACUCUUAACAUGGGUUCAUGAUCAUAUAUCACACAAAAAACCUUAUUUCCCAACAAAAUGUCACAACAAUAUUCGAACACAUCAUAAUACCCUUCAAAUAGCAAACUACAUUGGUCAUAUUGCAAGUUCAUAUGAAAUCAACACCAAGGAUAAAUGUGACUUUCAACAGAAUAAAACAGGUCAUGUAACUAGAAUAAACCUUCUACUGUAAUAUCCUAACAGUCCCAAAUUAACACAAGAAUAAAAACUCCACUAUCCAAACCAAAAAUUAAUUAGAAUAUACAGUGAGUCGGGAUAUUAAAACACCAUAUAAUGAGGAAAUACAACUCAAUUCAUUUACAAAAUUGAGGACAUACUUCAAACUCUAUUUUUUCAUUUCAUUCUUCAAUUCGAGCCUCACAUUAAACCAGGAUCAAGAACAUGUACUUGAAUAUAGCAAAACAAAACCAGAAAAUCAAGCUUGAGAUCAGGACGAAGAAGCACCAAUAGUAAAUCAACAAAAAGCGAAGUAACAUCAGAAAAAUAAUUAAAAAUCCACAAUGGAACAAUGAUCAAUCAGCCUUUAUACCAUCUUUGAAUCCCGGAAUAAGCUAGAAACCUUUGAAGGUUUCAGGAUUGAAAGACUAAUUUGAAGAAUUAGAUCAAUCUCUACAAAAAUGCAAGAGUUUUGAAGUUCUUUUUAGCUUAGUCGUUUGCAACCUUUUUCAGAAUUUUUAGUCUCUAAUAUGACUUGUGAGUGAAGAAAGCCUUUAUAGGCAAGCCUUAUGGUAGUAGAAAAAUGAAUUUAGUUUUUGCACUUUAAUCAUUUUUGAAUUUUUAUUUUUGCUCUUUGAUCCUUAGCUUAAAAAUCAGUUUUUCAGUUUAUUCUCAACCCCCACCUUCCAGGCAGCUUCCCAUUCUGUUACAUAAGAUUCCCCCACCUACAAUUCCUAAAUUAACCCUUAGGACCCCUGUUUUUACUCCUGAAACCAAACGGGUCAAGUUGAGCCAAUGAUUCAAACCCAAACCUGGGCUAGCAAGACUCGGGUUGAAUUCUUUUUCCUGGGCCUCUGCUUAACAGAACCCAUAUUCAAACCUGAAUUUAAUGAGCCAUGCAAGAUUUUCCAAGGGAAACUCGGAAAUCCUAUCUUUUGAAAACCAAAAAAAUAGUGAAGUAGCACCAAAGAAAUAAAGAAAUUAUAAUAAACAUGAACUAUUAAACUUUAAUUUAAAGCAUGUAAGCAAAAAUGAUUCAAAAACGAAAAACAAUAGCGACAAAACAGAAGAAACGAAGCGAGAAGAAAUGAAGACUGGCAUUUAAAAGAAAAAAAGAAGAAGAAAAAAUGAGAGAAAGAAAAAGAAAGCUAAAAAUACCUAAGAACCAGGCGAAUAAAUUCUGGAAUUAACCCUCAAGCCUUCAAUUUUGACCGAAAUGGGCCUUAAUCGUGUGUUCUCAAUGGAAAACACACGAAUAAGAUCAUUUUCGUCCUCAAACCUUCAUUAAACUCAGUGAUUUGCGGUAUUUGGAUUUUAGGGUUAAGAACUUCGAUUUAUGACUCGAAGAGUUUUGGACGGAUUCGAGGGAAAAGAGUUAUGGAUUGAGAAAUGGGACGUUGUGAGGCUUUUGCGGUGUUGAUUUGAGUGGAUUGGAGGCGGCGUCGCCACGGAAGAGGGUGCAGAAUUUGGGGGCGGUGCUAGACUUCCAUGGAGGGUCUCUGAUGGUGGAGGUGAUGUGAGGGAGAUAAGUUAGAGUGGGGUAGGGGGUCAUCAGACAUUUAUAUAUUAUUUGGGGCUUAGUUCCGGAUUGUUCGAUCAAGCGAGAUCG
rnacentral:lncRNA from 1 species